rnacentral:misc_RNA from 1 species
CUCACGCCUUACGACGGCAGUUUCACUAGAGUCCUCAGCAUAACCUGUUAGUAACUAAUGAUAGGGGUUGCGCUCGUUAUGGCACUUAAGCCGACACCUCACGGCACGAGCUGACGACAACCAUGCAGCACCUACACAGACGCCAUUGCUGGAAGACCAGUUUCCUGGUCGGUCGUCUGCAUUUCAAGCCCGGGUAAGGUUCCUCGCGUAUCAUCGAAUUAAACCACAUGUUCCUCCGCUUGUGCGGGCCCCCGUCAAUUCCUUUGAGUUUCAUUCUUGCGAACGUACUCCCCAGGUGGAAUACUUAACGCUUUCGCUUUGCCACAUACAGUAUAUCGCAUACAGCUAGUAUUCAUCGUUUACUGCGUGGACUAC